rnacentral:rRNA from 1 species
CGUAGGGCGCAAGCGUUGUCCGGAAUUAUUGGGCGUAAAGAGCUCGUAGGCGGUCUGUUACGUCCGCUGUGAAAACCCAGGGCUUAACCCUGGGCUUGCAGUGGAUACGGGUAGACUAGAGGCAGGUAGGGGAGAAUGGAAUUCCCGGUGUAGCGGUGAAAUGCGCAGAUAUCGGGAGGAACACCGGUGGCGAAGGCGGUUCUCUGGGCCUGACCUGACGCUGAGGAGCGAAAGCGUGGGGAGCGAACAGG